GAAUAUUCUGAUACUGGUAUUAGGACAUAAAGUGUUUUAACAAUCCUAAAUAAAUCAAACACAAUUAAAAUAAAGCCACUGUUCGUGAUUUAUGGGCAAUAUUAAGGUCACCAAAAAGACAAAAAAAUUGAGACUAUGUCCAUAUACUGUGCCAUAAGGCUUACAAAGAAGGGAUUUGUAGUCUGCAGAUUUUCAUUGUAAUCUUAUAAUUCUUUUUUGGACCACCAGGAGGCGCUCCAGACAGCUCAAGAAGAGUCGCUGCGAUGGCAGAAGCUUUGUGAGGAGCUAAGGCAAAGCUCCAGCCUGCUGAGGAACAGUCAGGACCAGUGUACUGACCAGCUUCUUCAUCUACAGAACCAGCUGGAGCGUUCCAGGCAGCAGGAAGAGUCACUGAAGGAGCAGUGUGAGGUCCUGCAACAGAAUGAGGAGACGCUACGCUCCAAUAUCUCUCUCCUAGAGGAGGAUAACCAGAGUCUUAGAGAUCAGCUAGAGGAACUUACAGAUCACAGUCAUGGAUCGUGGAAUAACGUCACAGAAGUGCACAAGCAGGGACGUGUGCUGGACCAGCUUCUCAGGACUGAUAACAGCUUAGCUGAGCAGCUUCGCCAGGCUGAACUACGACUCAGUUUGAAAGAGAAAGAGAGACACUGCUGUGGCUCCUUUAUCUGUCUGACUCUCUUCUUAUUGAUGAUGAUGGUUGCUGUAAUGGCUGCUGUCUGGAUCUACCAUCCACCAAUCAGAGAUCAGCUGUGUGACUUUUACUCAUUCGUGGAGGAAAGAGUGGAGGACUAUCUAAUGCAGGUAGCGUCUGCACAGCAUGCAGUCUGCUUCAAACCCAUCUGACGGACACCCGGAUACCAAGAUAUGGAGUUAUUGUUACAUCUACUAGUGUUUUUAAAGCUGUUUUGGCUCAUAUUUAUUGCCACAAAUAAUAAUUUCAUUUAUUUUUUACAAUAUAGGCCCAUCAGUAAUAUGAGAGCACUUCCAACGAAAAACCAAACACAGAUUAAGCAUAACAUUAUGACCAGCUCCACUGAUCAUAUAGCAUAUCUACAUACUUUAUUAUCCUCCUUUCACCCUGUUAUUCAAUUGUCAUGACACCAUGGUGAAUAGGUAAUUCUCAGCACUGUAGUGAUUAGCACUGAUUAGCAUGGCGGUGGUGUAUGAGGUGUUAGUGUGUGUUGUUUUGACGAUAUAAGUGAAUCAAAUGCAGCAGCAGUGCUGCUGGAGUUUUUAAACACCUUAGAUUCACUGCUAAUCUGAGAAUAAUCCACAAAUCAGAGUCCUGUGGGCAGUGCUCUGUGUGUAGCGCACAGAUGAUCUUCAACUUGUGCAGCAACAGAUCCAGAGCUUCUGUCUCUGACUUUACUCUUUACUUUAUCUACAAGGUGGAGCAGCUGGUGGACAGUGAGUGGUUAAAACACAGUGUUUAAAAACUGUGACAGUGAGUGUGGAAACAAGGAGGUGGUCAUAAUAUUAUGCGUGAUCAGGGUAUUUCAUCCAUUUAUCCCUUUUAAGAGAAAUCAGUAAUUUUCUUUACUCUGAAAUGUUAUUUUAGUGAAGAUACGAAUUGAAAAAUAUAAGACUAUUAAUGUAAAAAUGACCAAAUAAUUAAAAAAAUUAGGAAUAACAGGUACGAAUGGUCGAUACGAAUGGACAUAUGUUUAUUUGUUGGAAGAGCUCAAGCAUUGUACAUCAGAUUAACAAGUCUCUCACACUCCAGCUCCUAUGGGCCUAACAGCUGAAAUCAGUUCUGUCUUUAAAUGUUUGUAUACAAACAAGGAUACAAAAUAUCAUAUGUUUUAAUGCAGUGAGUUUCUAAAGAAGUUAUACCUCCAAAUAAUAAGGUUUACACUCUGUGCUUACCUUUUUAUAUACAUUAUAUAUGUUUUCUGUACAUCUAGGUUUCCAUUGUGCCUGUUCCAUCUAAAAAAAUGAAUUAUUUUGACAUAUUUUGAAAAUAAACCCAUUUAAAAAAUGGUAUGAUUCCA
rnacentral:lncRNA from 1 species